AGCAGCCGCGGUAAUUCCAGCUCCAAUAGCGUAUAUUAAAGUUGCUGCAGUUAAAAAGCUCGUAGUUGAAUUUCGGGACUAAUAUGUCGGUCGUGCCUCGGUACGUACUGGCAUUGUUGGUUUCUCUCUUCUGACGAACCAUGAUGUCAUUUAUUUGGUGUCAUGGGAAAUCAGGACUGUUACUUUGAAAAAAUUAGAGUGUUUAAAGCAGGCUCACGCUUGAAUACAUUAGCAUGGAAUAAUGGAAUAGGACGUUUGAUUCUAUUUUGUUGGUUUCUAGGAUCGACGUAAUGAUUAAUAGGGAUAGUUGGGGGCAUUAGUAUUCAAUUGUCAGAGGUGAGGUAUU
rnacentral:rRNA from 1 species